rnacentral:lncRNA from 1 species
GAUUGUAAAAUAACAUCCUACCAUCUUGACCUACUAUGUAUCAGCAAAUGAGCUAUGUUAGUCUAAAACUGAUACUUUAAAGGGAACCUCCUUUUAUUCUUUCAGAUAUUUAAAUUUUCGUUCUUUCCUCGUGCUUUUCACAAUUUGACUAUAAUACAUAAAUCUACAGAUCUCUGAUUGUUUCAUCUUGAGAUAUGAUAAUCCUCCUAUAUAAGAUAUUUUUGCAAAGAUUUGGAAACUUUUCUGCUACUGGAUCAUUGGCUGGAGUUUUAUGUGCUUAAAAUUUAUCUGCUCUCCUUCAGGUGCUUUAAAAGUGUAGUUUUUGUGGAUUUCUGAGUUCAAGGCCAGCCUGGUCUACAGAGUGAGUGCCAGGACAGCCAGGGCUACACAGAGAAACCCUAUCUUGAAAAACCAAAAAAAAAAAAAAAAAAAAAAAAAAAAGUAGGUUUUUGCUCUUAUAUUAGUACACACAUGUCCUGAAUACUCCAUUUUACCUAUUCACAUUUAUAGGCUUAUUUCAUCUUUAUGAGUAUCUGUGAGUGAAUGUCCCAUGAGUGACAGUGUACAGUGGAAGACAGAAUAGUGUCAGAUCCCCUGAAGCUAGAGUUACAGGUUAUUGGUAUCUACUGGAAUUGCUUAGGCACUAGGAACCAAACUCUUCUGAUACAACUGUAAACAAUUCUUUCUGAGCCAUCUCAAAAUUUUUCAUUUGCAUACUUACUUAUUUACUUACUUACUUAGUUACUUACUUACUUACUUAUCCAUAGGUAUAGUAUAACUAUGUAGCUCAGGCUGUUCUGAAAUGUACAGUGUAGACCAGGCUGGCCUGGAACUUUGAACAAAUCUCUGCUUCUUCACUCAAUGCUAAGAUUAAAUAUUAUAUCAUUAUGACUAGCUUCUAUUGAGUUUCAUUAUAAUAAUUCUUUUGAAUCCUGUUACAGGAAUUUCAUCACUUUCCGGCUCCUUGUAACCUCUAGCUGCAGACAUACAUUGUUUGAGAGACACUGUUUUAUCUUGUUUUCAUUUAUUUUAUAUUGUGAUGAUACUUGCAUAGCCAUGGAGAUCAAACAUUGCCUGUUCUUUAUUAUGCAGUUUUCUGGCUCAGUGUGUCAGUUUGGUGUGUAUGGUUGGACUUACUUGCAGUUAGAAACUAUAGCAAUCUUUGUGUGGCAUCCGUAGUUGUGACUAAUAUCUUUGAGUACUGUGUAUGUCAUGGCAGAGUCAGCAGACUCACUGAAAGUAUGAGGCAUGCAAAAUUGAUGUCAUUUAGGCAGGUAUGUUUAGGAGAGCAACAGGUGUGGGAUGUCCAAUGAUGGGCUCUAUUGAGUGACAGGCACAUCAUCCAGUACUAGCAAUAUUAGCCCUACAACAAAAGGGCAUACAGCACUGUAUCCUCAACAGUAGUCAUGGGAGUGUAGCAUUUCCCCUUCAGGUUCUGAUACUGGUCAAAAUGCUGCACAUGGAAAGACAUUGGAGAAAAGUCCAUCAUGACUGCAUCACUCCACCCAGUCCUAAGAUCACCGUCUAGUAGAACCAAGAAAGCAGGGACUAAAUAACUGGACUUGGAAGAACUCUUGUGUUCCCUGCUGACACUUCAGAGACAGUGUCUACCUAAGGAGUGAGACUUCAGGUUGGGCAAGUGCACACUUAUAAACUCCUUUGGCUAGGCAAACACAAGAACAGGGUAAUAGCGACAUUUGGGACCAUCAUUGCACUACAAACAAUUCUGAGGUCAGGGCUACAGUCUUGCUCUUUCAAUCACAGGCAACUGAAUAGCAGCAACUAUGGAAGCACCUGCCUUCAGCCCCAGUACAGGCAUAAAUUCACAUUCGGCUGGCCACAGCCUGAGUCCAGCUGCCCUAGUUCAUCAGGUCAUCCUACUUCAUUUUCUUGCUUGUCUUAAUAAUGUCUGCCAUAGAACAAAGUAGACUUAGGUCAUAUUCCCUCUACUGAGACAGGCACGACUGAGAAGAAAGCUGUUUCCAAAGUUCAAAGAGUGAAAGGCACAUGAAGUUCAAGAAAUAGGAGUUUUCAGGAAAUGGAAAUACAGGUAGAAUAACCCACUUCCAGAAAUAGCUCACUUCUCAAGAUGGCUCCUUAAUAUAACACUUCUAGGGCAGGACACUAAUGGGAGAUAAUGUGAGAUCUAUUCCAAAGGAAGCUUAGUGUACAUAAUGAAGACUCAUUCAAGCCUAUGGGAAUGACAGAAUUUUCCAGUAGUCAGGACAGCUAGCAGCCAUAGAGAUAGGUGGCUGAUUCACCUUUGCCCUUCAAAUAAAACACUCCACCUCCACAACCAUGGAGAGGGCAACUGGGAUAUUGUGUUUCCUUUAUUAUGUUGUCUGGGUCCCCAGUUUUAGUGUGUUUUCUCUCAUCUAUUUCUAGUCUUUUCCUAUGAUAAUUUACCUCAAGAUACAUUAUACACCUGCAAUUUGGAGUUUUCUAAGCAGAGCAGGAUGUGAGGACUGCCACUUCUAUCCAUCCAAGUUUGAGCUUCAUUGUGCUACAUUCUUGUCUAUCAUCCUUAGAAAAUGUUACUUUGCUUAUUCUCAGAAAGGCUUUACAUGUUGUUUAUGCCUAGGAAGGGCAUUUCAAGAACAAUUUCUCUAUCUGAAGAACAUUUUUGUUUUUUGUUUAUUGUGAAAUUUUAAUAACUUUGAACAUUGUGUAUUUGGAAGAUGGAUUGGCUCCUCUGGUGUCGGAAGAGCUUUCCUUGACUUCCUAAGGAUCUUUAAUGUCACUUUCUGCUUGAUUACCAAUAUAACUGUUACUUAGAAUCUCAGACACAGAUAAUAGAAUAAGCCAUAGAAAGCAACUAGUUUAGAUACUAAUGGUUACCUAAUAUGGGUAGAAAUUCUCUGCACUAAGUGAUAUUUUUAUAAACAUUACAGAAAACACCAUUGAGAAUUGCCAGGAUAUAGUCACCACACAAGAUAUCUGGAUUAAUUGUGUGCACCAUGCUUGUAGCAAUUUUAUGUAGAUGCCUGGAUACACAUUUUCAGUUAACAUCUCAUAAAAGUGGCUGGAAGAACAGAGAGGUCCAGUAUGCAUACUACCACUCAGGACCCCAAAAUAGUGGAAUAAUGUGUUUUUUAAAGGUAAGAAAUUCAUUGAAAAAAAAAAAGAAUGUUUCCUGCAGUUUGGUUUUGUAUUUGACUAGUUAAUGUGGUCCUGUGUAGCAAUCAGCUUACAGAAUCUAAAUGGUUGUCCAAUGCAGAGGUGAUCAGAUAAGAGCUAAAGUAACAUGGUGGAUUUUGUAAAUUGAAGUAAUAAAGCAUUCAGAUAAGCACUUACCUGUUCAUUUGGACUUGAGGCUUCUCAUGCAGGUGGUAUAAACAUAGAGAAACAUAUAAUCAUAAGGGCUGGCUGUUAGGCAAAAUUUAAUAGCUUUAUUUUUGUACAUCAAUGGAAUAACAUUUGCAAGGCUGAUAAAAACAGAAAUAAAAUCAGGCUAUAAGAGAAUUCAUCAAAAUCUAUUUUAUGUUUGGUUUUGAUUGUGAAUUCUCCAUCUUCUCUAAGACUAUUAAGAAAGUUGAUGAUAAAAAAGUGACUAUUUACCCCUAGGCACAUAUUCUGAUCAUUUACUAUAUCUGUGUCUGUGUGUGCAUUUGUCUAUGUGUUAGGCAUCUAUUUUGUUUCCCCCAUUGAGGAAGGGGAAAGAGAGAAGGAGAUGGGGGAGAGUAUGAGAGAGAUGGAGAGAG